UGAACCCUUGCCAAGUGCUAGGUAGGU
rnacentral:piRNA from 1 species